AUCAAAGAUUUUUAAAAACAGCUAGCCUAUACACUGCAUAAAGAAAAGAGAUAUCAGAUCAAAUUUAGAAGAUUAAAUGAUUAUGAAAAUUGAGUGUCCAAUGCUGCCAGUGUCCAUGCUUUUGAAAAAAGAAGUCAUGACUCAGAAUCCAUAGUGAGAAACAAGUCAUGAAUGAAGACUGAGAUGGAGUGUUUAUGUUUCUGUCCACUAAAACUUCUAUGGAAAAUGGUUGGGUGUCUGGCUCAUCCAAUGAUCAACCCAUUGGCCGACUACCAGAUUCCAACCUGAAGAAUACAUAGGAAGAGUAAAAGCUUUUUAGGCCCAAGUAGUUAAAGAUUCGGGGGCAUAUAGUUUUUGCCCUGUCCAUCCAUCUGUC